rnacentral:tRNA from 1 species
UAGCUCGCGAGGCUCAUGACCUUGAGGACGUAGGUUCGAAUCCUACUUCUGCU